CUAACAUAUAAUGUUAACACCAGAACAUAUAUGGAUUUAGCCCCACUAUACACCCGAAUUCGAAUCCUCCUUCUUAUAGUUUAAAUUAGAUUAAAUUAUAAUAUUAUUUAUAUAAAAAAAUAAAAAAAAUUGUUAACAUCACAUAAAAAUUUGUAUUUGUAUUUUUUUUUUAAAAUUUGAUAAACUAAAAUAUAAAGAUCAUCUAGGUGUGAACCAUCCAUUUCCAAACUAGGACCCAGCUCAACCAGCAUCCACUAGGCCCAAAAAGCCCAGAAAGAAAAAAAAAAACAAAAAACAAAAACGCAUUAACGCAUCUGUACCAAAGAAAAAAAAGAAAAUAAAAUAAACAAUAACGUACCAGGCGUGUAAUAUAGCAGUGCCAGUGACCCUCUUUUAUCCCCAAUUCUUUACUCUCUCUGCCUUCUUGUCUUUAUUUUCCCAUCUCAGUUCUCCUGGAAGGAGACACAAUUAAUUUCAACUUUGAGGAAAUUUCGAGUUGAAGCUCUUUCAGAAGCUUCAAUUUGGCUUGCGACUGAGGAAAUUUUGAGAAAAGUUUCGAUCUUUCAAGUCUGUAAAAAACUUGUCCUUUGAGGUAAGAGUUAAGGGCUUCAUUUCUCGAUUUUGAAACUGCUGGAGUUUGAAUUGAGCUUAAGAAUUAGGAAAUUUUUGGAAAACGGAUGGUGGGUUAGUUUUUGUUUUACUUUUCAUGAGUUUAGAAUGAUAAAUUUGGUGACUUUGUUAGGGUUUACUUGCCAGUCUAUUGACCUAAGGGUAUUGAAUUCUCUGACAACGAUUUUCACCAUAAAAAUAGGUUUCUUUUUAGAGACAUAUUCAUCGGGGUUCUGAUGUUUUCGUGAUUUUCUAAAACAAAAUGCUACUUUGGAGCUAGUUUCAGUUUUUCUUUUUUCAAAAGUAAUUUUUUGUAGAUGAUGGUGAUGAUAACAAAGGUUCAUGAGCUUGGAUGAUUUGGGGUUUUAGUUAUAUGAAGAAGGAGAAGUUGUUGAUUGGAAUAAGAAGCUAGCUGAAAAAGGAUAAUGGUAUGGAUUUUUUUGGAGUUUAGCCCUAUUGAAACGGAGAAACUGGUGGUUUGGAACUAGCAAGUAGGGUCUUACUGGUGUUUCUUAUUUGUGGUGGUUUUGUUGUUGUUAAUCUUGAGUCGUGUUGAAAAUGGAUGACACCGAAGAUGAUGCAAAGGUAUCCUCCAAACCCAUAUGGUGUGAAUCACCAGCAGGGUUAUGGUUCUUCUCCAAAGGCAGAAACCUUCCUGUUCGUAGUGGUCCAUAUUCUAGGCCAGUUGGCAGUCACUAUGUUGAUGAUGAAGAGGACGAUGAGGAUGAAGAGGAUGAAGAGUUGGGUGAGGAAGAAGAAGACAACAAUGGUCAAAAUGGUUAUCCUUCUGUUCACAAAGAUGUUGACGAUGAUGAUGAUGACGAAGAUGAUGGUGAUGAUGAGGAGGAUGAGGAGGAUGAAGAUGAUAAUAAGAGCAAAGUUUAUAAUAGAAUGAUUGAUGAUGCUGAUUUAAAAAAGCACCCAAAGAAGCGGAAGUUGAAGAAUUUGAUCUCAAGUUAUGAAUUUGCUCCUCGUCUACCAGCUCCUCCAGCUGCUGCACCCUCUGCUCCAAGACAAUCAAUUGGUGGCCGGAAUUCGCUUACCGAUUGGACCGAGCAUGAGACAUUUGUGUUACUAGAUGCUUGGGGUGAUCGGUUUCUUCAACGUGGAAAAAAGAGUCUUCGCUCUGAGGAGUGGCAAGAGGUAGCGGAGAAGGUUUCAGAGGUGUCAAAGAUUGAAAGGACAGACACACAAUGUCGCAAUCGGUUGGAUACCUUGAAGAAGAAGUACAAAAAGGAGAGGCUCAAAUUCGCAGAGACUGGUGGUGCUACUAGCAAGUGGGUUUAUUUCAAGAAGAUGGAUAUGUUAAUGUCAUCGCCACAACAGCAAUCUGGCCUCUCUUGUGGUUUGGACUCUGGGGAGUAUGUUUUCAUGAACCCUAGAGUGUAUUUGAACCGUGCAAAUGGGUUGGAUGAGAUGAGGGAUAGUCCAGGAAAUUCAGAAUCUGCUGAGGGAGUGGAUGAUGAUUCAGAUGGGCUACCACCCAAGAAGAGAAGGUACGGAAGGGACAAUGAUGAUCGGUGUUCCUUUAGAUUGCUUGCUGAUUCUAUUCAGAAAUUCAGUGACAUAUAUGAGAAGAUUGAAACUAGUAAAAGGCAGCAGAUGGUAGAACUAGAGAAGAUGAGGAUGGAUUUCCACAGGGACUUGGAAAUGCAGAAAAGGCAGAUUAUGGAGAGAGCGCAGGCAGAGAUUGCAAAAAUACAGCAGGGUGAUGACGAGGAGAAUGAUAUCUCAGCCGAAAAUGCUAGUGGGUGAUAUGAGUAUCUAUCUAUAAUGUCAACUAGUUAUGUUAACUGCUAGCUGUUGUUGUAACAAUUGGGGCCUUUAUCCCUUUUAAUUUCUUUUAUGGAAAUAAGUUGUUGAUGUUGUAGCAGAUAUGGUAUUAGAAAUAUGAAAAUUCGAAUUACUAUUGUAUUGCCUAGUUCUGUUCCCUUUUGUUCCAUGUUGAUGGUCUUAUAUGUAUCCACUUGUUUGCUAGUGGUCUGUUU